AUGGCGUCGGUCCUCAGCACCAGGAACCCCGCAGCCGCGCCCUCGCCUACUGCUGCCAGCACAGCAGCCCGGACCACCCCGCCCCUUUUCUCCGUGCACCCCCCGCGGCUGGGUAGCCUGCGCAUGCGCGGACCCCUCCAGCCCGCCCGCUUUCCCAACAAAAGCCCUUUCCUCCAGGUCCCCAGUGCGCAUGCGGUUCCGCGGCCACGACUGCUCCGCGUCUGGCAGCGCAAACGUUGCCCAGCUGGGCGUACGACAGUGCGGACCAGCUUCUGGCAGCACUACCAUCUCCGCGUGCACCAUUUCAACUGUACAUGUAGCCUACUCAACUUACGACCAAAUCGUGUUACGACCGGUCUGCCGGUCCCAAUCGUGGUCGUAAGUCGAGCACUAGCUGUAGUAGAACUGGAAGGCAAGCCUCCAGCACCUUCUCUGUGAAUGAGCAGUACCAUUUUUAGCACUGGAGGCAAAGACUCUUUGUCAGCCAAUCACACUUUGAAACCUUUGCCUUCUGUUCCAGAGGAGAUAAAGCCCAGGAAUAAAAUCAUCUCUAUGUUCUCAGACACAGAGAAAUGAAGUAAAAAGAAAGAAAAGGAAGGGUCAGAAAUUUCUACUCCAUCUGAUUUUGAAUACACUAUCCAUGUUGGCUUUGAUGCUGUUACUGGAGAAUUCACUGACAUGCCAGAACAGUGGGCUCGAUUACUACAGACCUCCAAUAUCACCAAAUUAGAGCAAAACAAGAAUCCUCAGGCUGUGCUGGAUGUCUUAAAGUUCUAUGACUCCAAUACAGUGAGGCAGAAAUAUCUGAGCUUUACUCCUCCUGAGAAAGAUGGAUUUCCUUCCGGAACACCAGAACUGAAUGCCAAGGGAUCAGAAAACUUCAGCAGUAGUGACACAGGAAGAUGAUGAUGAUGAAGAGACUGCUCCUCCUGUUAUUGAGCCAAGACCAGAUCAUAUGAAAUCAAUUUACACAUGGUCUGUAAUUGACCCUGUUCCUGCACAAGUUGGUGAUUCAAAUGUUGAUAGUGGUGCCAAGUAUUCAGACAAACAGAAAAAGUAGACUAAGAUGACAGAUGAAGAGAUUAUGGAGAAAUUAAGAACUAUUGUAAGCAUAGGCGACUCUAAGAAAAAAUAUACAAGAUAUGAAAAAUUUGGACAAGGGGCUUCUGGUACAGUUUUCACUGAUACUGACGUUGCAUUGGGACAGGAGGUUGCUAUCAAAGAGAUUAAUUUACAGAAACAGCCAAAGAAGGAAUUGAUCAUUAAUGAGAUUCUGGUGAUGAAAGAAUUUAAAACUCCCAACAUAGUUAACUUCUUGGACAGUUACGUGGUAAGAGAUGAAUUGUUUGUGGUAAUAAAGUACCUUGCUGGUGGGUCACUUACUGAUGUUGUAACAGAAACCUGCAUGAAUGAAGCACAGAUUGCUGCUGUAGGCAGAGAGUGUUUACAGGCAUUGGAGUUUUUACAUGUUUAUCAAGUGAUCCACAGAGACAUCAAAAGUGACAAUGUACUUUUGGGAAUGGAAGGAUCAGUGAAACUUAUUGACUUUGGUUUCUGUGCUCAGAUCACCCCUGAGCAGAGCAAACGCAGUACCAUGGUUGAAACGCCAUACUGGAUGGCACCAGAGGUGGUUACACAGAAAGCUUACAGCCCUAAAGUUGACAUAAGGUCUCUGGGUAUCAUGGCUAUUGAGAUGGUGGAAGAAGGAAGGUCUUUAUGCCUCAGUGAAAAUCCCUUGAGGGCCUUGUACCUAAUAGCAACUAAUGGAAGCCCAGGACUUCAGAAUCCAGAGAAACUUUCCCCAAUAUUUCAGGAUUUCUCAAAUUGAUGUUUGGAAAUGGAUGUGGAAAAAAGUUCAGCCAAAGAAUUAUAACAGCAUCCUUUCCUGAAACUGGCCAAACCAUUUUCUAGCUUGACACCAUUGAUUAUGGCAGCUAAAGAGGAAAUGAAGAGUCACUGUUAACAUCGCUACUGUGGCCUAAUAUUCUUUUUUCCAUUUUCUAAAAGAAGCCUUUUGGUAUAUGAAAAUUAUUGCUCUUUGGGGGAUUUAAAGAAAUGGUCUGCAUAACCUGGAUGAAAGAAGCAAAUGACUAUUCUCUGAAGACAACCAAGAGAAAAUUG